rnacentral:rRNA from 1 species
UACGGAGGGGGCGAGCGUUGUUCGGAAUCACUGGGUGUAAAGGGUGCGUAGGCGGUCUCUCAAGUCUGAUGUGAAAUCCCUGGGCUCAACUCAGGAACUGCAUUGGAAACUGAAAGGCUGGAGUACCGGAGAGGGAAGCGGAAUUCCUGGUGUAGCGGUGAAAUGCGUAGAUACCAGGAGGAACACCGGUGGCGAAGGCGGCUUCCUGGCCGAGUACUGACGCUGAGGCACGAAAGCGUGGGGAGCGAACGGGG